GCCAGUGUGGCGUAGUGGUUUGAGUGUUAGAUUACAACUCUGGAGAUCAAUGUUCAAUUCCUAGCUCGGCCA